AGCCACCGUGUGGUUGCUGGGACUUGAAUUCAAGAUCUCUGGAAGAAUGGCCAGUGCUCUAAACCUCUGAGCUCUCUCUCCUGCCCCAAAUGAUCAUGUCUCAGCUGGAAGUUGAAGAGCAGGAAUUUGGGCUGGCGAGAUGACUCAGUGGUUUAGAGCACUGGCUGUUCUUGCAGAGGACCUGGGUUCAGUUCUCAUCACCAUGGCUUACAGUCACGAGUAACUCCAGUUCCAGAGGAUCCAAUGCUCUCUUCUGGGCUCAUGAACACUGUACACAUGUGGUAGGUACACAGACCUACAUGAAAGCAGAACACCAAUAUACAAUAAAAAAAAAAAAAAGGAAUUUACAGGGCUGCCACUGCCAAUCCUGAUGGAGUUCAAUCCAUGGUACUUGCAUGAUGGAAACAAGAGAGCUGACUUCAGAGUUCUGACCUGCUGUGGCUCCCAUGAGCCUACCCACCUCCUCCCCACAAAAUAGUGAAACAAGUAAAUUACAUACCAAGUUUAUGCGUUACUGUCUUAAUUUUGAGUCUUUUUUUGUGGUUAUCUUUUUGUUUGUGCUCUAACAAAGCUUGCCUGAAGAUGAGAGAGUGGAGCUAGCCACUAGUUAACCCUAGAGGCCUGGAGGUCUGUACUGACAAAUAGGAAUUGCCCUUUUAUGGCUGAGGAGUUCGCAAGGUGAGAAUUGGCUGUGGCUGCCUCCUUUGUCUCUCUGCUCUUUCAGCAUUUACCCUGACAUCUGGCUCUGGAUUUUUAUUAUUAAGAACAAUUAGAACUUGUGCAGCACUUUUUCAUCUGGAACUCUGUAGGUGAAGGAAUCACUUAUUCCUGUUUUCAGAGUUUCUCUUUUCCCUGUGUAUCAUGAUUGUUUGCUAAAAAAGUAAAGUGUUGUUGACCUGUUAAGUCAGAGAGUGAUAACUACAAUAUUUGGAAACAUACUGUUCUUUCCCUAUCAAUGUGUUGAUGACCAUUUUCAAAAGAUCUUUAUGUGUUGUUGGUGUAUGCCACAGAUGUGCCACAUGUGUGUGUGCCCACAGAGGCCAAGGCACGAAACUUUGAAGAGUGUAUGAGUAGAAAUCAGGUAUAAGCUUUUUACCAGGUAAGUGCACUUAGGUUCAUCCAAGUUGUUCCAAGUAUCACUGCUUCUCAGGGCUCGAGUAUGUUGGAAAUGCUUGCCUCACACAUGCAAGGCCCUGGAUUCUAUCCAAACAGUAAAGAGAGGGGGGCUUAUUUUAUGAUAUACAUAUACAGUUAUUCACUUGUAGAAAGAAUUUGAAUUAUUCAGCUUUUUGAUUGUACAAAUUGGUGUUGUACAUUUGUGUGGCAGUUUUAUUUAAGUGUUAAGUUUUUGUUUCUCAUGAAUAAAUGUUCAGUAGUACAAAUGCUGGGUUACAUGUUAGUUUUAUUUGUGUGCAAAUGUGUGUGAACAACUAUGCCACAGUGCACUUGUAGAUGCCAGAGAUUGAACUCAGUUUGUUAGGUUUGCCAAGAGAGGUCUUUACCCACUUUGAGCUAUCUUGCUAGCUCCAUGUUACUAUUUUUAGACAGAUUCUAUGUAGUCUUGAUUGUCCUGUAACUUGUUACAUAGAUCUGCCCAUCUUUGCCUCCUGAGCGGCGGGAUUAAAAGUCUGAUUCACCAUACCUAGCCCUGCAUUUUGUUUUGUUUUGUUUUUCUUAGGGGACCUGGAGAGAUGGCUUGAGCUGUUAAGAUCUGUUGUGAUUAUUGUUACUUCAGAAGACCUGGGUUUGGUUCCCAGCACCCACGUGGUGGCUCACAACCAUCUAUAAUUCUAGUUUCAGGGGAUCAAAUGCCCACUUGUGGCUUCUGUAGGAAACCACACACAGCAUAUAUUCACA